rnacentral:rRNA from 1 species
GGCGAGCGGCGGACGGGUGAGUAAUGCCUGGGAAUAUGCCCUGAUGUGGGGGAUAACUAUUGGAAACGAUAGCUAAUACCGCAUAAUCUCUUCGGAGCAAAGAGGGGGACCUUCGGGCCUCUCGCGUCAGGAUUAGCCCAGGUGGGAUUAGCUUGUUGGUGAGGUAAUGGCUCACCAAGGCAACGAUCCCUAGCUGGUCUGAGAGGAUGAUCAGCCACACUGGAACUGAGACACGGUCCAGACUCCUACGGGAGGCAGCAGUGGGGAAUAUUGCACAAUGGGGGAAACCCUGAUGCAGCCAUGCCGCGUGUGUGAAGAAGGCCUUCGGGUUGUAAAGCACUUUCAGUAGGGAGGAAGGUAGUGUAGUUAACACCUGCAUUAUUUGACGUUACCUACAGAAGAAGCACCGGCUAACUCCGUGCCAGCAGCCGCGGUAAUACGGAGGGUGCGAGCGUUAAUCGGAAUUACUGGGCGUAAAGCGCAUGCAGGCGGCCUGUUAAGUCAGAUGUGAAAGCCCGGGGCUUAACCUCGGAAUUGCAUUUGAAACUGGCAGGCUAGAGUCUUGU